GACGAACGCUGGCGGCGUGCCUAAUACAUGCAAGUCGAGCGGACUUUCAAGAAGCUUGCUUUUUGAAAGUUAGCGGCGGACGGGUGAGUAACACGUGGGCAACCUGCCUGCAAGACGGGGAUAACUCCGGGAAACCGGGGCUAAUACCGGAUAAUAUCUUCCUUCGCAUGAAGGAAGGUUGAAAGGCGGCGCAAGCUGCCGCUUGCAGAUGGGCCCGCGGCGCAUUAGCUAGUUGGUGAGGUAACGGCUCACCAAGGCGACGAUGCGUAGCCGACCUGAGAGGGGGAGCGGCCAGACUGGGACUGAGACACGGCCAAGACGCCUACGGGAGGCAGCAGUAGGGAAGCUUCCGCAAUGGACGAAAGUCUGACGGAGCAACGCCGCGUGAGCGAAGAAGGUCGUCGGAUCGUAAAGCUCUGUUGUCAGGGAAGAACAAGUACCGUUCGAACAGGGCGGUACCUUGACGGUACCUGACCAGAAAGCCACGGCUAACUACGUG
rnacentral:rRNA from 1 species